rnacentral:rRNA from 1 species
UACAGAGGUCUCAAGCGUUGUUCGGAAUUACUGGGCGUAAAGGGUGCGCAGGCCGGCGCGGACAGUCAAAUGUGAAAUUCAGGGGCUCCAACCCCUGCAUUGCGCUUGAUACUUCCGCGCUCGAGCCUGGAAAGGAGUCUGGAAUUCUCGGGUGUAGCGUGAAAUGCGUAGAUAUCGAGAGGAACACUAAGGGCGAAGGCAAGACUCUCGGACAAGUGCUG